CUUAACACAUGCAAGUCGAACGGAAAGGCCCUGCUUUUGUGGGGUGCUCGAGUGGCGAACGGGUGAGUAACACGUGAGUAACCUGCCCUUGACUUUGGGAUAACUUCAGGAAACUGGGGCUAAUACCGGAUAGGAGCUCCUGCUGCAUGGUGGGGGUUGGAAAGUUUCGGCGGUUGGGGAUGGACUCGCGGCUUAUCAGCUUGUUGGUGGGGUAGUGGCUUACCAAGGCUUUGACGGGUAGCCGGCCUGAGAGGGUGACCGGCCACAUUGGGACUGAGAUACGGCCCAGACUCCUACGGGAGGCAGCAGUGGGGAAUAUUGCACAAUGGGCGGAAGCCUGAUGCAGCAACGCCGCGUGCGGGAUGACGGCCUUCGGGUUGUAAACCGCUUUCGCCUGUGACGAAGCGUGAGUGACGGUAAUGGGUAAAGAAGCACCGGCUAACUACGUGCCAGCAGCCGCGGUGAUACGUAGGGUGCGAGCGUUGUCCGGAUUUAUUGGGCGUAAAGGGCUCGUAGGUGGUUGAUCGCGUCGGAAGUGUAAUCUUGGGGCUUAACCCUGAGCGUGCUUUCGAUACGGGUUGACUUGAGGAAGGUAGGGGAGAAUGGAAUUCCUGGUGGAGCGGUGGAAUGCGCAGAUAUCAGGAGGAACACCCAGUGGCGAAGGCGGUUCUCUGGGCCUUUCCUGACGCUGAGGAGCGAAAGCGUGGGGAGCGAACAGGCUUAGAUACCCUGGUAGUCCACGCUGUAAACGGUGGGUACUAGGUGUGGGGUCCAUUCCACGGGUUCCGUGCCGUAGCUAACGCUUUAAGUACCCCGCCUGGGGAGUACGGCCGCAAGGCUAAAACUCAAAGGAAUUGACGGGGCCCCGCACAAGCGGCGGAGCAUGCGGAUUAAUUCGAUGCAACGCGUAGAACCUUACCUGGGUUUGACAUGGAUCGGGAGCGCUCAGAGAUGGGUGUGCCUCUUUUGGGGUCGGUUCACAGGUGGUGCAUGGCUGUCGUCAGCUCGUGUCGUGAGAUGUUGGGUUAAGUCCCGCAACGAGCGCAACCCUUGUUCACUGUUGCCAGCACGUUAUGGUGGGGACUCAGUGGAGACCGCCGGGGUCAACUCGGAGGAAGGUGGGGAUGACGUCAAGUCAUCAUGCCCCUUAUGUCCAGGGCUUCACGCAUGCUACAAUGGCUGGUACAGAGAGUGGCGAGCCUGUGAGGGUGAGCGAAUCUCGGAAAGCCGGUCUCAGUUCGGAUUGGGGUCUGCAACUCGACCUCAUGAAGUCGGAGUCGCUAGUAAUCGCAGAUCAGCAACGCUGCGGUGAAUACGUUCCCGGGGCUUGUACACACCGCCCGUCAAGUCAUGAAAGUUGGUAACACCCGAAGCCGGUGGCCUAACCGUUGUGGGGGAGCCGUCGAAGGUGGGACUGGUGAUUAGGACUAAG
rnacentral:rRNA from 1 species